GACGAACGCUGGCGGCGUGCCUAAUACAUGCAAGUCGAACGCUUCUUUCCUCCCGAGUGCUUGCACUCAAUUGGAAAGAGGAGUGGCGGACGGGUGAGUAACACGUGGGUAACCUACCCAUCAGAGGGGGAUAACACUUGGAAACAGGUGCUAAUACCGCAUAACAGUUUAUGCCGCAUGGCAUAAGAGUGAAAGGCGCUUUCGGGUGUCGCUGAUGGAUGGACCCGCGGUGCAUUAGCUAGUUGGUGAGGUAACGGCUCACCAAGGCCACGAUGCAUAGCCGACCUGAGAGGGUGAUCGGCCACACUGGGACUGAGACACGGCCCAGACUCCUACGGGAGGCAGCAGUAGGGAAUCUUCGGCAAUGGACGAAAGUCUGACCGAGCAACGCCGCGGGAGUGAAGAAGGUUUUCGGAUCGUAAAACUCUGUUGUUAGAGAAGAACAAGGACGUUAGUAACUGAACGUCCCCUGACGGUAUCGAACCAGAAAGCCACGGCUAACUACGU
rnacentral:rRNA from 1 species